rnacentral:tRNA from 1 species
CAGGGAGACAACAAAAUGUUUAAUAUUAUUAUUUUGUCACCUUAGGUCGAUCGGUAUCUCACGUUCUUAAUUUGUUAAGAAUUUCAUUUCCUAAGUUUUUCUAGGUCACACCCAUUAUUUUUCCUGGGCCAUUAGCUCAGGUGGUUAGAGCGCACCCCUGAUAAGGGUGAGGUCCCUGGUUCAAGUCCAGGAUGGCCCAUAUCUCUAUGUUGGGGGUAUAGCUCAGUUGGUAGAGCGCCUGCUUUGCAAGCAGGAUGUCAGCGGUUCGAGUCCGCUUACCUCCACUGAUUACCACCUCUUCCAUAACUGGUAUAAAGGAAAUGUUUUGAGUUGUGAUUAUUAUUCUGAACGAAUCUAGCUUCCUAAUGAAAUCAUUAAGAUGCUGGACUCAUUGAAUUAAUUUCAUUGUUUUCAGAGAACCUUGACAACUGCAUAGAUUUUUUUAAAGACAAUAAGCAUCUUUAAUGAUGCAGAUUUAUUAUUUGUGCGAAUGCAUUAAUAACAAUUCUAUUAAGCUGAUGCUUCAAUUUUUGAAGUUAUU